rnacentral:rRNA from 1 species
GGAGGUUAGUGCAAUGGCAUAAGCCAGCUUGACUGCGAGCGUGACGGCGCGAGCAGGUGCGAAAGCAGGUCAUAGUGAUCCGGUGGUUCUGAAUGGAAGGGCCAUCGCUCAACGGAUAAAAGGUACUCCGGGGAUAACAGGCUGAUACCGCCCAAGAGUUCAUAUCGACGGCGGUGUUUGGCACCUCGAUGUCGGCUCAUCACAUCCUGGGGCUGAAGUAGGUCCCAAGGGUAUGGCUGUUCGCCAUUUAAAGUGGUACGCGAGCUGGGUUUAGAACGUCGUGAGACAGUUCGGUCCCUAUCUGCCGUGGGCGCUGGAGAACUGAGGGGGGCUGCUCCUAGUACGAGAGGACCGGAGUGGACGCAUCACUGGUGUUCGGGUUGUCAUGCCAAUGGCACUGCCCGGUAGCUAAAUGCGGAAGAGAUAAGUGCUGAAAGCAUCUAAGCACGAAACUUGCCCCGAGAUGAGUUCUCCCUGACUCCUUGAGAGUCCUGAAGGAACGUUGAAGACGACGACGUUGAUAGGCCGGGUGUGUAAGCGCAGCGAUGCGUUGAGCUAACCGGUACUAAUGAACCGUGAGGCUUAACCUUACAACGCCGAAG